rnacentral:sRNA from 1 species
UCAGCGAAGAGAACGUUCUCCGGCCGCUC